rnacentral:rRNA from 1 species
AUUGAACGCUGGCGGCAGGCUUAACACAUGCAAGUCGAACGAUGACUCUCUAGCUUGCUAGCGAUGAUUAGUGGCGGACGGGUGAGUAACAUUUAGGAAUCUCCCUAGUAGUGGGGGAUAGCUCGUGGAAACUCGCAUUAAUACCGCAUACGACCUACGGGUGAAAGGGGGCGCAAGCUCUUGCUAUUGGAUGAGCCUGACUCAUAUUAGCUAGUUGGUUGGGUAACGGCCUACCAAGGCUACGAUCUGUAACUGGUCUGAGAGGAUGAUCAGUCACACCGGAACUGAGACACGGUCCAGACUCCUACGGGAGGCAGCAGUGGGGAAUAUUGGACAAUGGGGGCAAGCCUGAUCCAGCCAUGCCGCGUGUGUGAAGAAGGCCUUUGGGUUGUAAAGCACUGUUAGCAGGGAGGAGAGGCUGAUGGUUAAUACCCGUUAGAUUAGACGUUACCUGAAGAAUAAGCACCGGCUAACUCUGUG